ensembl:lncRNA
GUCCCAGAAUGUUCUAAGGACUGUCAGAUAACCAAACCAUACAAUAACAUUAGGAGAAUAAUAACAAUAUGUUUUCUUGGUUAUCAUCCAUUAAUAAAUUGAGCUUUUUUAAAGCAUAAAUAUCGAGAUACUGAAACCAGCAGUUUUUAUUCAGGUUUGAUUAAACUAAAAGUCUCAUGCUGAGCACAAGUGCAACGUCUUGUCAGUCAUCAGUCCGUGGUAUUUAUUAUAGAACACUCAUUGUUCUUGAGCUGAGUCCAUCACCCUUCAGGCUUUCUAUAAAGAAUAGAGCAGCUAUGGCAACAGCCAUUCCCAAACAUGCCACUGUGCUGCAAGAAUGUAAAAAAUCAGCAGCUACUAAACUGCUCAGAAAUCAAAUCCACGGGAAGAAAAUGUGCCAUGCAUGAGUCUCACCAGUAACUCAAAUAUGACUACUCAUAAGAAGACAAUCAGCAAGCAACAGAGACCAGCUCUAAGAAUCCCAUUUGGUCACCGACGUAGAACAGAUAUAUUGCUCCUCAAAAAUGGUCAAAUGACGUUGAAACACCCACAAGCCUUUCCAAUGCUGGGAGAACUUCCUUCUUUGGCAGGCUUACUGCUGCACCCUGGUAAGCGGGAAAAGAUGGUAACCACAACAGAAACUGAAUUUGGACCCAAAACCUGCCCAAAAGUAGAGCCAAAGAAGAUCCUACAGUGCAGCCUAACUCUAGAUGGUGACAGGAGUUUCAACACAACAAAUAGAGAGGAUUACCCUUAUUACAAACCAGAUGGCACUCCAAUCGUGUGGCAGGGAAAAGCCCCCGCAAGAGAAAACAGGACUGGCCAAGCACAGAGAGGUUCUCUUUACCAGCAGGACUUCCCUGCUCCAAAGAAAAUCUACAUCAGGAGAAAUCAGGUUGUACCUCAUCCUGACAACCUGGCGAUCAACACUUCAAUGAGAGCUGAAUACAAAACAGUGCAGCAAGAGGCUUUCCCAGGCUGGGAUGUCUCUGUGCACACACGCCCAACGCCUGUCCGACUCAAAAGAACAGCUGCAGAUGACUGAUGAAGGCCAGAGAAAACCAUCAAAGUGCAUUUAUACACUGGAUGCAUAAAUAACACAAAAAGCUUCUUUAAACCACACAUUUAUGUUAGUCAGCUUUACUUUUGUGUCUUUCAACUGUACUACAUGUAGGGUGUCCAUACGGGCCAUUUUUAUGGGACGCACCCUUGCCAGGAUUUCAAUAUUGCCUAAAAUAUCCAGGUUUUGGCUGUUAGCACUAUGCAGAUUAAUUGAUCGUUGUAUGACAUUAUUUCACGAGAGCUACAGAGAGCAGAGCAGACGGCUCCUUAUGCUUUCAAAUCGCUGGUGUUGGUGUUAUUCAAUGAUCAGCAGCUUUAACCCUUAUGGGGUCUUCGGGGUCUUUCUGACCCGCAAAUGACAUUUGCUAAAAUUAAAAAUAGGUUUUUAUACAAAAACAGGUUUUUAUGUAAAAUGCACUUUAUAAAAGUCCCACAUUUCUAACUUUGAUUCAUGGGGAUAACAAGGAUAAUUUGACAUGGUUUAGUGUAAGAUUUUUGCCAAUCUUUAAGAAAAAAUGAUCACUUUUACUACUAGAUGGCUGCAGAGCUCCACUAUUUGCUACUUGCUAUUUGAUUAACUAAAAGUUAUCUUUUCUCAAGUUUUUUCAGUUGGAUUCAUACCUACAUAUUCUGAAAUCACAAUAAUAACAAUCAAAAUGAAUUCUUGUCAAAGUUUAGACCUUUUAACCAUUUUUUGUACUGAAAAAAAAAAUUAUUAAUAUCAAUAAUGUUAGAGUAUGAUUAUAGAAUCAAACCUGAACAAGAUGUUAAAGAGA